AUGCGGCGGGAAGAAGUGGCAUUUAGAAGUGUUGCUGACUUUACAUUUAGGUUUCGGCAUAACAAAGCUUGCACUGUCUUUUCGCACUUAGGCGCACAGCGUGCCGUUGGUAAUGAUUCUACUACGGUGCUGCAAAUUCGCAAGCUGAUCCUAAGUAAUCGUUGUUGUUCAUUGGAUUCUUCCGGAAUUACUUCGUUAGGAUUGAAGAAUUGCUGCAAUUCUUCCUGA
rnacentral:rRNA from 1 species